rnacentral:rRNA from 1 species
GACGAACGCUGGCGGCGUGCUUAACACAUGCAAGUCGAGCGGAAAGGCCCUUCGGGGUACUCGAGCGGCGAACGGGUGAGUAACACGUGAGUAACCUGCCCUUCACUUUGGGAUAACCCUCGGAAACGGGGGCUAAUACCGGAUACGACACACCAGCGCAUGUUGUGUGUGUGGAAAGUUUUUCGGUGGGGGAUGGGCUCGCGGCCUAUCAGCUUGUUGGUGGGGUGAUGGCCUACCAAGGCGACGACGGGGAGCCGGCCUGAGAGGGCGACCGGCCACACUGGGACUGAGACACGGCCCAGACUCCUACGGGAGGCAGCAGUGGGGAAUAUUGCACAAUGGGCGGAAGCCUGAUGCAGCGACGCCGCGUGAGGGAUGACGGCCUU